GACGAACGCUGGCGGCGUGCCUAAUACAUGCAAGUCGAACGCAUUUUCUUUCACCGUAGCUUGCUACACCGAAAGAAAAUGAGUGGCGAACGGGUGAGUAACACGUGGGUAACCUGCCCAUCAGCGGGGGAUAACACUUGGAAACAGGUGCUAAUACCGCAUAAUUCCAUUUACUGCAUGGUAGAUGGAUGAAAGGCGCUUUUGCGUCACUGAUGGAUGGACCCGCGGUGCAUUAGCUAGUUGGUGGGGUAACGGCCUACCAAGGCUGCGAUGCAUGGCCGACCUGAGAGGGUGAUCGGCCACACUGGGACUGAGACACGGCCCAGACUCCUACGGGAGGCAGCAGUAGGGAAUCUUCGGCAAUGGACGCAAGUCUGACCGAGCAACGCCGCGUGAGUGAAGAAGGUUUUCGGAUCGUAAAACUCUGUUGUUAGAAAAGAACAAGGAUGAGAGUGGAAAGUUCAUCCCUUGACGGUAUCUAACCAGAAAGCCACGGCUAACUACGUG
rnacentral:rRNA from 1 species